CUCAGGAAUUAAUUUUUUUAAAAUAGCUCAGUGUUGCAUGCAUAAAGGGUGUGACCAUCGCUGCAGGAAAAAGUUCUGACAUCUUAGUUCCUAAAGUCAAAAAAUGCAUGUUUGCUUAGUAUUUAUCUCAAGGAGUAAAUUGGCCUCUAGUGCCAGAGAAAACAGUCUUUGGGUUCAGCAGGUCUUGAGGCAGAGAAACUUUAUUAUUGUUUGGGCAGGAUCCGGCAAACGCUGCCGGGUGCAGUGCUUUAUACCUAACAUGAAUCUUGGUGGUAGAUUGGGCCUGAACUUAAAAACGUGCAGCUGAGGAGAAUGGCUUUGUUAGCCUGCUGGAGCUGUUCUUCCUCAAAAGCUCAAGACUGCAGAAGCACCACGGAGCUGAAAGAUCAAGAGAACGUCGGGGUCCUGAAACAAACGGGAGGGUAAGAGAAAAUGUGCAGCCGAGAAACCUGGAUUGCUCUGUGAGGUGGAGGAGGAGGUGGCGGCGGUGAGAGGGGAAGCAACCCGUGCAGAGGAGAGGAGCUGUACCCCCACGUGGUAAGCUGCAGUGGGUGCCUCCAACCCCAAAGCACGCACACACUCACCGUGGGCAAGAUAAGGAAAUACUCCCAUUCUGAAUUCACUCUCUUUAGUGACUUCCUGCUUAAUUAAAGAUUUAGUUGUCCUUAGAAGCAACGCCAGUGCCUGCUCUCAUGUCGUCUAUUGAUGGUGUCUGCCAGGAUCCCGAUUGCCACAGCUCCCUCUGCGCUGCGGUGUGACACAGGGUUGAUAGGCUGUGUAAGUUCACGUUGUUACUCUUUGUGGAUUGCCAAACCAUGAAGACUGAGAAGCAAAUUGGACUUCUUCCAGUUCGAUUUUCAGAUUCUUGGUUUGAGUCUGUUCACCCUGGGGGCUCAAUCCAGUCCUAGGUGACAUCAGGGGCAGUGGCUGCAGGAUUGGGCCCUGCCAAGGGUCCAACACCCCGGUGUGACGAUGUGUGCGGGUGCCGUGACGCCCGUAGCUCCCAGCUGUUCUUCAUUGUGGGUUGCACCGUGCAGAGGCACCCGAGCGGGCCAGCACCUGCUGGUAAGGCUGUCUGUCUUUCAGGUAUACAGCUUGUAAAAUUGCGGAUAGGUCUGUUCAAGAGGCUUUGACAAGUUGGUGCUGCUGUGGGCUAGACUGGAAGCUAAGCAGUGAAACUCUGAUGUAUUGAAACGUGAGGCUCCAAGAGCUCUUUCUUUGUGUUGCCGUGAAGCUGCCAUGGUUUAGUGUUGGUACAAAUGCACUUCGUAAAAGACUUGGAAUGUUGAUACCUAUUGUCUAAUUAAAAAAUCCACUUUGGAGACUUUGUAGAGCAGUCUGUGUAGGAGCUAGUGAUGACACGUUGUACCUAGGUUUAAAAAAAAAAAAAAGAAAAAAAAGUUGUAACACAAAGCUGGGCAUGGUGGCAUGGGGAGGUGUCUACAUGUUGCAUUUCAGGUGUUUUGUGUGGAAAGAAAGGGGGUUGUUCAUUUUCAGGUGUAGCAGCAAUGUGACUUUAAACAAUAGUUGUUACUCUGAGUAAGAACUCCAUUUGCUCUGAAACACUGCUUGGAUCUUUGUUACUGCAGCACAUGGGGAUCUUCUGCAGCGUAUUUGCCAACUGCUUGACAAGGGACAGGAGAAAUUACUGUUAAAAAUGAACUAGCAGCUGAAUAUAAACCAGACACAAACAGCUCACGGAGAGUGACAGUUUCAGCAUCUGAUCCGCUUUUUUUAUCUCAGAGCUGCCUGAGUUCUUUUUUUAAUAUGUGUUUAGUUUUCUCUGCUUCCUGCACAGCAGCCUUCUAGAUGUGCCGUUCAGCUAUUCCUUUUCCUCAGGAGAGAAAGUCAGAUGAGUUUCUCUGAGCAGCUGAGAGGAUUCAUUCAAAACAGAAGCAAGGUGUCUUGUAUGGUAAUAACCACAGACCUGAUCUUGCGCUACUGAAACCGAUGGAAGCAGGUACAAGAGGACUGCAGAUGCUUAGCCUAGCAGUGGCAGUGACCAAAGGAGCUGAGUCAGAGGUUCCUGCUUCUGGGAGUUACAAGCAAAUUAACCUUAUUUGCAAGCUUCUCCCAUUAAUGAUGCUGAAUAAUAGAGGCUUUUUAUCAUGCUGCUUCUUUUUAACUAACUACUUUUUGCAGGUUAAGCUAGUUGACCUGUCUUUGCUGUAGCUGUGUGUCAAAAGAGCAGCAUUUAACAGUAGCAUUUGUGAGUAAUUUCAAGUAAGUGGAGUUUACCUACUUCUGUCUGGACAAUAUAAGCAUUUACCCAAUUCUUUUAUCCGCCACAUGGGUGAAUUUAUCCACCUUACUUACAGCAGUAUAAACAGCGGGGUGGAGAGGUGCACAGAGCAAGCUCCUGCCAACACCUUGAAUGUGUCCAGAGAUGGUGCCAGGCAGCUUCAUCCUUGGCUGAAAGGCUGGAGUGCGAAGCCUGAGACCGCUGGGAUGGUCUCUGCUGCAGCUGCCACGCUUGGCCUCCACACAGUUCCCCUGUAGCAAAACCGCUGCGGAGCUGCUGUGGGACAAGCCAAGACAAAGCAUCCGAGGAGGACGUGUUUAAGAGCGCGCUGUGCAGACCUUCCGGCGUGAGCGUCCGCGGGGCUUCCCGCUGUCCUGCCUGUGCUCCUGGGCGAUGUGCCCUCAGGGGUUUCCCUGACACGGUGCCGCGCGAGGGCCGCGGCAGGAGGGGCUCCAAGGGCAGCUCUUCGCCUCCACGCCAGACCGCUGCCUGGGCCAAGAGCACCACAGAGUAAGAAGUUAACAGGUGCGGAGCAGGAGUUUAUGCAUGCCGUGGUAGUCCUGGUUCACACCUGGGGGGAUUCUGCCUUGGACCAUCCUGAGAGGGAGGAAUCUGGAUUGUGCCCGACGUGGAAUGAUUCUGGCUGAGAGUCAGAAGCAGGAGACUGGGCUGUCAAAGUGCACAAUGGGGAGAAACCCGGGAGAAGAAAAAUGUGAAAACGACUAUUUCUGGCCUGAAUAGAAGUUGCAGGUUUACACUGAGUUUUAGCUCAUCUAGAUUUUUUUUAUUGCUGUGGAAAAACUGAAGUGAUAAAGAAAACCUCGUGUGGCUACAGGACAUCAGGCUAAAUCAGCAGGUAACAGGGUCACAUGGAAAGCGACUGUGCGGAGCUGCCUGGCAGGGCAGGCGCAGAGAGCGACGGAGAGGAAGUGCUUCACCCCAGCAGCUAACUGGCCUCGCUGCGUCUCUGCCGAAGCAGUAAGUGAACAUGUAGGAGGGAAGGUGACAGUCAUAGCAUCAUGGCACAACCAGCUGCAGAGGUGAGUCACUUAGCACCACAACAGCUCUUUCGGAGCCAGACUCUCCAAGACUUCCCAACACCCACCAUCAACUGGGACUUCAGUUCUUUAUAAUGCUUUAUGAUGGUAUUGUUUGAUUGUAAAGAUUAUUUAACACUAUCACAUGCAGAAUGCAAAUGUAAUCAGGAUAUCAGCAAGUGCAUAAAUAUGCAGAGACCCAAAUCUUCCCACUGUCAUCUGUGUGAGUACUUAUUUCUAUUUACCACCUGCAUUCAUUCACAUUCAGGGUUCCAAGUCCCAUUUGCAAAUGGAUAAAAACUCCUUCAGUCUUGCAUAGAUAGGAGAUAGACUUCUAUUUUUAAUGAGGGAGUCUAAAUCUCAAAGAACUGUAGUAAUAUUUGGUAAAAGACCAUCCUUCGUCCAUUUUAUACAACGUUAGUCCUGUUAGAUGCCAUAGAACAUAGUUUGUACAGGUUCAGUAGUGUGUGGGACUACAGGAGCUACUGCUUCUUGAAAAAUGGACAUUUUAAAUCUCUAAAACUCUUAAAUUACUUGUAAAACUUUUUUUAAAAAGCUAGGCUGAAAACUGUCACUCUUCCUUUUGAAUAAAAUAAUAGCCUUGUCAUAUGAUAGUGAAAUCUGCUUUUAUUUUUAGAUCUGCUAAGAGCUAAGUACUUAGCUAUUUACUAUUGGUGAAAUAUCUUUUGGCUUGUUUCAUUACAGUACAAACAAGAAUUUUGAUUCAGAAAGGAAAACACGAUAUUCCAUUAGUAGGAAGUAACAGCUGCCUUUACUGAUUAUUUUAAAAUAAUGAUAAGGCAUUUCAAAUAUUCACAAAUAUUUCUGACAUACUGCAAAAUAACAUAAAAGAAAAACACCAUGAUCAUAUGGAAAGCAAAAUAGUUUUAAAAGAUUUUACAAAUGCAUUAUUUCUUCCAAUUCAAAAAGUUUGUCAAUGCACUUUUACUGAAGAAUAUCUGUUUGGUCAAAUGAAUUUGCUAUACAUACUGUGCUUGUGGUGUCCUGGAGAACAAAUUGGAAAAAUUCUUAAAACAGUAAUUUGUCAGAAACAGCUUUUUGGAAUAGGGCCUCUACUGGUCUUGCAGUUUUAUCUCUGUGGACUUUGUGUAAGGCCCAAUGUGUUUUUUGUUUUUUUGAAAUGAUAGUUUUACAGUAUGGAACUGACAAUUAUUUUAUGUCACAUGCAAAUAUUUAAAAGAUCUGAGGCCUAUUUUCUUCCAUGUGUAUGUUUUUGAUGCUUUAAGGCUGUGCUACUAAAAACAUUUUAUCAAUCUUUGUCAUUUUCUUAAAUAUUACAAUUUUUCAAAUUUAGAACUGUUGACAGCAAUGAUGAUGAUGUUUCUCAUACAAAAAUCUCUAACCAAACAGAGAAAUUCCCUGGGGAGCUGCACAUCACAUGCAAGAUGCAUAACUAAAAAAUGUCAUCCAAAGUUCUGCUAAAUAUUUAGUUCCAGCUAGAGCUAAUAUUUGUUUUAGUUCUGAAAAAUGUUUACUGUAUACAAAACAGUUGGAUGGAAUACGGACAUUUGACAAAGAUCACUCAAUGCAUUUUGUUGUCCAAAUUGUUCAUGCCGGAUUAACACGGCUGCCUUUUUGCUUACGUUUUUCAGGUGGGCGGCAAUGGCAUAAAACUGCGGAAGGAACGUUCCUCGUAGUUUCAACAGGCUCAGUCGUAUGAGACGCGGCGUACCUUCUCCGGCCUGCUCAGCCUUCAGCGUAGCAGGAAGCUGCUUGCAGGAUUGAGAGUCCUUUGGGCUUGCUCCUGAGCUAAAUGCAGACUUGUACGGCAUGACCAGAUGCCAGCUUGCAGCAGGUGAGGAUUUGCUUUUUUUGCCUUCAGCACAUUGUAACAUGAAAAACUGCACCAGCAUUUUGUGCAAAAGGGAACUGUCAGGAAACGUUUUUCAACGAGCACCAUUAACUGACUUUGGUAACCUAUGUAUUGGCACGACCAGCGGGAUCAGAGAGUAUAAUAAGCUCCUGUCUUGUACAAUAAGAAAGCACAGCUGCCAUUUACCUUGCAACUAGAGUCUGUAAAUAUUAAAAACAUAAAUAUGUUAAUAACCAUACACAUAUACACAAAACAGCAGUAGCAAUAUUACAGGAUGCAGUACCUACUCUAUAUAACUGCUUUUGUUAAUACAGAUACAAUGCCAAAAUAAAUGCUAUUUGAUAUGCAGCAAACCCUUCUUUAAAAGUCAAUGGCAGCAAGAUAGCCAAAGUUCAGGUCCAGGCCUCAGCUAAUCUGAGCUAGCUAUGAAGCUAGGUCAAUCCCACUGUCUAUCAAUAUAAUCAGUAAAACUACUGUUUUAUUGCAGUACAGAAAAUAAUGAAUGUUAUUAAUACUAAAACUUUAUAAGCUGGAGAUUUCUUUUGACAACGUUUGGCAUUAAUUCUCCCUUUUUCACAAGUGCUUCUUGGUAUGAGCACUCAUCAGGCUUUACAGGGGAUGUUUCUACAUAUAAAAUAUGAUUAGGAGCAAAGGCUAACAGAAACACCCAGCACUGGUUUGGAGUUCCUGAAUCUUGGUAGGUGCUCUUCAUUGUUUUUAGCCCAGAUUCACUGGGGAUGCACUUAGCAGACCAUCAAGAAAUUGUCACUCUCUAAAUGUUUCUUUUUCAUGCAGUUUUGUUUGGAAGGUUGGUAGGAAGAGGAUGAGAAGGGCUAGAGGAGAUGACUUGUGCCAGUCCACUGUCUUCGCUAGUGUUCUUCAGAGCAGCGUCCUCUCCUCAAGAUGACAUCAUCUAGUCCAAUAUCCCCAGUUCUUCCUUUCCCUUUCUCACCCCUGAAGACAAUCUAGGAAAAGAGAGAGACAAGUUGGAGUGCAAAAAUAAAAUGAAAGAAUCUUUGGUUGAGAAAGGUCUCACCAGAAAGAAAGCAAAAGCGACUGUAGUGAAGAAACAGCAGGUCAAGACUGAGAUAUGGUAAAUCAAGGCAUUGAUCAAAGCAUUGUUCCAGUUGGCAGAGCUGAGCAUCCUUCAUGAGGAAUCCUGCCAGAAGCUUUUCUGAAAUCCAAGAACAGCAUGCCUUUGUCCACUGGACUGCUCUUUUCUACAUGGUAACUAACUCUUUUAAACCUGUAUGAGGUAGAUCAGUACAGGCUAUUUUGCAGUUUCCCAUGUGUGGAUUGCUGUAGGUGGGUUUUCUGCAUAGAAUGAAUUUAAAAACCAGGCCUUGAUUCUCUUGUCCUUAGUGUGACUCCAUUGGCAGAGAUAAAUUUAGAAGUAAAACACAGACUUAAGUUGGACCUAGAAAACAAAUAAUCCAAUGCUACAGCAUGUAAGUGUCUUCAGUUUCUCAUGCUAAAAAAAGACAUUUUAUGGAAUUGUACUUACACUCUUGAUGCCCAAGCCUCGCAAAGUUAUGUGCGUCUGUCUCCAGCCAUGGCCACCAUUUCUUCCCCAAACAGCUGGUCCGUGAGCACCGUUUUUCCUCACGAAGACGUGGAGGGCACCAGAAUGCAGCGCAGGCACCUUGUGCCUAAACGACAGGCACAAGUCCCCGGCCUGAGCCAUGCGACCCAUCGGCAGGAUGAGAUGCGCUGCUCUUCCGUCUUUGUCUUUGGGCUCAGAGACCGUAAGAUACUGUCCCCCUGCAACAGAAAAAGAUGUUAGCUUUUUAAUUGUACUGCAUCUCAGGACCAAAUGCAUAACCGUUGUUUAAAAAAGAAAAAAUAAAUAAAUAAAAGGAGGUCUCCAAGG